UCGUUGCAGGGACCAAAAUAAAACCAUUUAAUGAGUUAAUUAAUUGUAGUUAAUUACGCCUUAACUUUUCUACUCAACGCCAGAUGUCGCUCUAAAGCAAAAUUCUACUUGACGUAAAACAUUUAUACAUCGCGGUAAUCUCGUCAGUCUUACUCCAUCAUUUUAAAAAGUAUAGACUAGUUUAUGGAUUUCUAAAGUUAUGUCAAGAUGACUGAAUGUAAUAUUGUCAACAAUAAUUGUCAAAACACGCAAUUUAAAAUAUUCAACAUUGUAAUUACAAAAUAGUAUAUUUCUAAUACGCUAUAAUUUUCUCCAAUCGAAAGGCACUCCAUUCCAUUGAUCUCAGAGAGUAUGCUCCUUGAUGAUCUUCACUAUUCAUGGGCAUUUUUAAGUUAUUCAUCGGACACUGAGGCCAUUGAAGUUUUAAGCUGGCGGCAUCAAAAUGGAGUACCUAGAAACCAUACGGCAAUAAUGAGGAUGCAUCGACAUAAGAAGAAUCGAACAUGGGCAAGAUAAAGUUCAAGAAAAAAGCAAAUAUAAUGUGUACUUGUGUGUAGUCAAAGAAAGUUGAAAAAUAAAGCAUAAUUAAUGGCCAUAGAAUACAGAACCGAUACACGAACAUUAAGACUAUUAAAUAUAGACAUAUAGGUUGAUCGUACUACUCGUACUAAUGUAUUUCUUUUGUUCAAUUAUAUUAUUGCAUUAAAGUUAGAUUCUCUAGAUAUAUAUUAUUCAUAGGUUCUGUAUUCUAUAUGAAUUGUUUUAGUGUAAUUAUUGUACUAAAUACCGUUGACCGCCUGUCAACAGUAUUUAUCUCUACAUUACUAUCACAGAAGAUUUUAGGCCCUACAGUAGUUUUUGAAUUAGUAUUUACUAUGGACAAAAUAGCGAAAUCUGAGUUUUUACCUAAAAUAUCAAUCUUUUGUGAACGUGGUGUAGAGUAUAUACCGCCUUAGACUGAAGUAGCUACGCGGGCAACGUUUUCAAAAUAGAAUCGUGUUCAUGGUCGGCCCAUGGUAAAAAUAAUUAGGUACCCGUAGACCCACUGGUGAACACUGUUUAUGAUAACACUUAAAAUAAACCCCGUGGACCCACCAGGAGAACAUAUUGGAGACACUAGAGAUAAUACACCGCUUUAAGGGCGGUCGUACACGGCAUUGACAUCUGGCGUCUAGAUGGCGGGUGGACCUCAGCGAAUUUCAAAGAAAUAUUUAUAAACAUCCAAUGACGUUCGGCUCGGAAACCAGAUCUUCAAUCUCCUGAUUCCUGUGGAGUCUCCAGGUUCCAUCCUCUCCACGUGAGGGUCCUAGGAUUUUUCGCGCUGCCAGACUCCGAUGACUCGGGCACGUAGUCCAGAUGGGUGAGGAUCGUGCAGCCUGAAGGGCGUACUCUGAAGUUUCAAAUGGCCGAAGACCGUCUAGACGUCCUAGGUAGGUCCCGCUGGAGAGAUGAAAUGCAAAAAGACCUUAGCGAACUCGGCGCCGUCGACUAGAUGGAAACUGUUUUGGACAGAGAAGCAUGGCGGUCUUUGGUGUCGGAGGCCAAGAUCCACUUCGGGUCGCUGCGCCACAGCAGUAAGUAAGUAUUUAUAAACAUAUUGUACCUUCUGUGUACCUAACCAAAAACGAGAUAUUUAAGAAAAAGUCCACCCGCUAUUCUGACGUCAGGAUUGCGGUUGGACCUAUGAAAUCUUGCAUUAUACCGCACUAAAAGUAUGCAGUUAUAUGGUACAGUCGCCAUCAGAUAUAUCGGAGUGGCCGAGGUGCUCAAAGAUAUCUAAACACGCAUUGUACCUUCAGUGUACCUCUGUAAAUAGAAAUAGAAACCGGUGUACCUCUCCCCAAAACAAGCUAGGCUAAGCUCAUGCAAGAUUUCAUAGGUCCACCCGCCAUCCUGACGUCAGGUUGGCGGGUGGACCGUUUUGUAAAAUAUCUCGUCUCGGUCUAUUAAAGGUACACUGAGGUACACAGAAGGUACAAUAUGUUUAUUAAUAUUUCUUUGAAAUUCGCUGAGGUCCACCGCCAUCCUAACGCUUACCAUAUAUCUAAGGACCGACCUUAGGGGCAAUAACGAUAGUGCUAGUUCAGAUGUGUCAUUCACAAAUUCGAGCCAAUCGUGCUGUCUAACGCAACUAGAACUCAUCAACCAAUCACGUUGUGGUACUUGUGGCGUUAGACUGCACGAUUGGCUCAAACUCGUGUGCGUAACACCGCUGUACUGGCCUCAUUCUUAUUGCCCGUAAGGCCCGUCCUCAGAUAUAUUAUGUCAAUGACACAGUCGCGAUUUAAAAAACACAUUUUCUGCUACCAAAUUGUUGAGCAUAACGUUUUCCUAUCCAUAGGUUCCAUCUGUCCAGUAGGAUCCACCAUCUCGAUCCACCAGAUUGAAGAGAUUGUUACUUAACUGAUGGAUCGAGAUAAUUAAACCUACUGAAUAGAGCGGGUCGAUUGGAUAUAACAAAGUACGCUUAUAUGAAACGCUGCUCCGGUGUGCGAGUGAGACAGUCAGGCCAAUUUGAACUUGCAUUUGACAGAAAACUGAUUGUCUCCAUCAAACGCUACCAGUUCCAUUGCCGGCCUCUUUGCUGCCUUCUAUAGUGGUUCAAUCUUACCUUGUUUAUGAAUAAAAAGGGGCGUGCACACCGAUGUUAAAGUAAUAUUGGAAUCAUAUCAGUUACUUGCGGGCGUCUCGCUCGCACAAAUACAUGCGUAUAAGUGCGAAAUGAACGCACGAAUGACAGCUAACUGGUAUCAUUCCAAUAUUAUCCUAAAAUUGAUUUAUUGUCAGUUGCACUUUCGAAUUGGUCUACAUAACGAUUUCCUUAGCCUGCACACCGGAUCGGCGUGUGGGCCGGCAUCUAGCUAAUGUAAAGCCACCUCAUUAGGUGAUUUUAGCCUUUUGAACGGCAAGAACACCUAAAGAUGUGGUGAGAGAAAGCCGCGCGUCCCUCAUGCACUGCACUAGCUUUACAGCUUGCAUUGCGACCAAUGUAUGCUGCUCACCGCCCCGCCGGUCGCGUGGGUCCAAUCCGCGGCCCUAGAAGACGUACUUUACAUAUAAACAAGAGCACGCGAGCAUUUUGCGAGUUGUGUAUGUGUACUUGUGUUAUCUAGGCGCACAAACGGUUACAAUAACAAGAAGUGUACACCGCGUGUGCAGUCCAACACGGGAUCACGGGUGCGAUUCGAAAAUAACGUGCUAGCGACGCAUUACGACAUUGAUACUUUACCCUUUGAACGCCAUAACAAAAACGUUACUCACAUGCCAAGGUCACGGGCGCAAGUGAGCUUGAAAGUGCAUGAGUAUUACAUUAGGGACUUUGACAGCGAUUAUAACAGCUACAAUCAAUAAUGUGUUCAUGGCCCUUAAAUCAUGUCUAGUGACGGCGCCUUUAGGUGUUCUUGACGUUCAAAAGGUUAAGGGCGUUUGCUAGCUGGCGCUAGUGCACGGAGCGGGCAAACACGCGCAGGUGCCUUUGUAAGUAAAAUCAGUCGCACGCGUCCGCGCCAGUUAGCGUUGCUCAUACUGUAAGCCGCACGCCCGCUCCGUGCACACGCGCGACGUUGCGGACGCCCUAUGCCCUAAACCUUACUUGAAAGUGUGAAGGUUACUCUGACAGCGGCUAUAUCAGCUAUAAUGUAUUUAUGACGCUUUGAGCAUAGCUAGUUACGACGCCUUAAGGUAUUCUUGGCGUUCAAAAGGUUAAGGGCGUUUGCUAGCUGGCGCGAGUGCACGGAGCGGAUGCACGCGCGCGGGUGCCUUUGUAGGUAAAAUUCGUCGCACGCGUCCGCGCCAGUUAGCGUCGCCAGUUACUGUUUUUCGUUAACCCGCUCCAGCUAGCAAACUAAUCGCAAAUGGUCCGAGAUUGGCGCAAUAACCAUGCAUUCCCUUAUCUGGAUGCACCUAUUCACCAAUGCUUGCUUUAAAGUAACUUGUCGACUCGUCCUGAUAAUAUUUGUGCGACCGUGAAGAAAAUCUAUGCCGUCACUUAGUUUUCAAUUUAUAUGAAAUAAAGAUGUUAAAUGUAUUCAAAAGUUUUUAUUUAUUAAGGUAUGUAUAAGUGCUCUGUGCAUCCGCACCAGCUAGCGGUGCCCUUAGCAAACCGCAAUAACCAUGCAUUCUCUUAUCUGGAUCUGGAUGCACCUAUUCACCAAUGCUUGCUUUAAAUUAACUUGUCGACUCAUCCUGCUAAUAUUUGUGCGACCGUGAAGAAAAUGUAUGGCGUCAGUUAUUUUUCAAUUUAUAUGAAAUAAAGGUGUUAAAUGUAUUCAAAAGUUUUUAUUUCAUAUGUAUAUAUAAUGGAACGAAAUACAGCUACUAUCUUAGCUUGGCAAGCAGUUAAGAGUCGCUGAUACUUGUAAUGUAUUCACUGCGUUAAUUUUAGGUUUAAGAUUCUUUAUUUUCACUAAGAAUUUGACAAUUCACUUACAUGAGAACUUAAAACUACACAAUUUAAUCCUGCUUCAUAUGGCAAACGAAGGGAACGUUGCUUUGAACCGCGACGCAAUCUCAAAUGUUUCACUUUUACACAAUUUUCCUGCAGAGAGACAAAACAAGUAUGUACAUAGUACCUUUUUACGAUUUAUUUUAUCGUAACAUAUAAACUUAGAUUUAUUUUCUUGCUGCUAAUUAUGGUACUCCAACUACUCCAUAAAUACAUUUACUUACCUAUUUACUUAUUGCUUAGGAAUCUUAUUUCAUGUUUAAUAAUAAGUUUAUAUAACGUUUCUAGCGGGACAUAACGCGAACUUUAAAAAAUAUAAUGCGUUUUCUACCUUUAUCACUCGAAUAUGUAAGAGCAAGAGAGAUAAAUAGACGAAACUUACUAGUUCAAGGUAACCACUCGUUUUAUUGUCAAAGUUCCGAAUUAAACAAACUUAUUCUUCGGUGACAUUUUUUAGCGUUUAUAAGCGACUAUACGGAUCCAGCAUUUGCCGCUCAUUCGGUUCUCCUAUUGCACGCAAGAUGUCAGUACUAGAGAGGAUUUGAAAAAUCAUAAUUAAGUAGUUUAGUGCCAUUUAUUGAGCGGUAAUAAUUUAAAAAAAUAUAUAAAUUACUUUUUCAUUAUAUUUCAGGCAUGCAAAGUGAUGUAAAUGGUUACAAAAGUAACUCUAUAUGAAUGACAUUUUUUAGUUCCAGUUUACGCCGCAGCGCAUGAUCAAAAUUAUUAAUAUCAUCUUCCCUGGACACUUUCGGUCUUUGGUGUCAUAUAAGUAAUUAAUGCUUAAUUGAAGACCUUCCAAAUAGGAUAUGACUCAAAUGUAUAUACCAAUAGUAAAAAUUACCCAAACGGCUACCAAGGCUCCAUCUAGUGUCAGGUAGAACAAACAAAGCGGCAUUUACCACAAUUAAUUAACGAAAAAACUCGUUUUAUUACCGCCCCUGCAAGCAUUUGAGUGCAAGUAUAUAUAUAUUAAAAUACCUUAUAAAAAUGUCUUUUAAAUGAUAUAUAUGGCUUAAGUAUACAAGCAAGUUUCAGUGUUUAAUAGCAGUAUUUUUAAUUCAAGCAUAUGUUAUAUCAACUAAUUCCAGCCCUGUACGUACUUAAACGUAAGUAGUGGUAAACAGAAAUCUAGAAUUUCUCAUAUUCUUUCAUACAAAACACCUAACAACCGGCUACAUAACAAGUACUUUGUAAAACAACAGUUUAUAUUGGCCACUCUUUUUUUUAAAUUGCUCAGUCCCUGCACGUUAUCCAAAGUUGGUGUCAUACAAUAAAAUAAUGCUAAGAGUAAACCCUUUCAAACGAGAUAUGUCUCAACAGUAUACAUCCAUGGGACAAAUUGCCCAUUCUCCUUUAC